rnacentral:rRNA from 1 species
UACAGAGGUCUCAAGCGUUGUUCGGAAUCAUUGGGCGUAAAGGGUGCGUAGGUGGCGGGGUAAGUCAGGUGUGAAAUUUCGGAGCUUAACUCCGAAACUGCAUUUGAUACUGCCUUGCUUGAGGACUGGAGAGGAGACCGGAAUUCACGGUGUAGCAGUGAAAUGCGUAGAGAUCGUGAGGAAGACCAGCGGCGAAGGCGGCCAUCUGGACAGAUAUUGACGCUGAGGUGCGAAAGCGUGGGGAGCAAACAGG